rnacentral:lncRNA from 1 species
UGGUGGUAGGCAGGGGCAUAAGGACAAAAACUAUGAGAAGAGGGAAGAGCGGUAAACAGCAACAAAUCAACCUCUCUGUGAUUCAGAAUCUGGACACUGGAAAAUAGCAUCUUAGGGAAGAAAAGAAGGAAGGAGGUGGAUCCCUGGGACCCAGGAAAGAUCUGAAGGGUAAAUAGGAGGCCACAGAAAAAGUGAAGAGACAGACCUCAAUGCAGAAAAAGGAGGGGGCAGUCUGCAUUUUCUCCCAGGCCCCUGGCUCAUAGCUUGAGAGAGGAGGCUCAAAUCUAGAGACACAGUGAGGGCUGGUGACUCCAGAGGCCUCCAGGGAGAAGUGCACCAGUGGAGCAGAGUAGUGGAUGCAGUGCACUAUAAAGGCUGCUGAGUGACUCCAAUCCAAGCAACUGCUGUGUGCUUGGAGAAGGUGCUUGGUAAGAUGCCAUUUUAAGGAGGGGCCAACUAAACCCAGGAGCAGUGGUGGGUAGACUUCAUCUCAGAACUCCCAGUGUUCAAAUCCCACAGAGAUUGGGUGAGGGACAACUGCAAGAGAAAUCCAGGGUCAGGGAGCCAUGUUCAGGCUGGCAAGAGACACCCAGAGUGUUGUAGACUGAACAACUCUGGCCCAAACCCCACAACCAGAGGCAAAGAUCAUCCUGAACUGUGGAUCUGAACGUACCAGAACUGACAUCCUGUCCUAAUCCUACUGCAAGCUUGCUGGGAUUAUCCAACAUGGAUCUGGCUUCUAACUGCUCCCUUUGUCUCCCAGCAAGAGCAGAGUCGUAUCCUGAAUUGGACACUACCACAAAACUGUGGACAUCAGAAGAAGCUGAGCAGCAGAUGAUCUCCUCAUGAGGCUACAGAGGUCUGGGGUCAAGCUCUCCUCUUUGUUCAUCAUUUUCUUCAAAUCCAAGAAAACUAUUCUUACAUUCCUGUUAAAUUGGAGAGUAUGGAGCUCCCUGGAACGAAACCUGAUUAAAACUCCAGCUGGGAGUGGAGAAAGCUUCAGCUAA